UCUCUGUGCGCCCGCGGGAUUUGAGGGGGAUGGAGGCGCGUCGGGUCAUGAGGAGCUGCGCGGCGCGACGUCUCGCGAGAUCUCGUGGGACAGGCGGUGAUCGAGGGUGAAGCUGCUCGUCGCGUCCCGAGAUGAGAGAUAUCGCGAGAUCUCAGCGCGCCUGCCAGUCUGAGGGGCCGGGCAGCGCGAAGUCUCGCGAGAUCGCUAGGCUCCGCCACUGUGAGGGGAAUGGAGGUUCCUCGGGUCGUGAGGGGCCGAGCGGCGCCAAGUCUCGCGACAUCUGAGCGCACCUGCUGGUCUGAGUAGCCGGGCGCAGCGUAGUCUCGCGAGAUCUGCGGCAACGGCCGCCCAUGCGGCCCUGAGGGGGAACAGCGAGAAGGAGGCUCCGAACCUGCCCUGCGCCCUCCGUGUCCCCUCACAGUCCCCCUACACCCCUCGUGACCACACCAGGGAGGUGUCUCCCAGCGCCCUCAGUGAGGCUUAGGCCCCCCUCACAUCCCCCGGUGCUCAGGUAGCUCUGCCCGCCUUGCAGGUGUAGGAGUUCCUUUAAGCCAGCACAAAGACAGCAGGAAAGGCAGCGAAAACCCUCAAAAACCGCUUGCUGAGGCCGGGAUUUGUGUGCACAAACCUCCAACAAAGGUCCGAAACAGGAGCGCGAGUGCAAAGAUCGCGGUGAUCGCCCAGAGCUCGCCGAGCAUUCGGCCAACCACCGCCAGCCUGGCCACAGCGAUCGGGGAGGAGUGGAAUUCCUUGGGAGAGGAAUGCUGCCUUCCCCAGCACCCCGCACAGGUGAUCCCACAGCGUUUACUCUGGAACAAGGGUCUGAUCUCUGCCGAUAACCAACACCCAGACAGGCACCUUCCCCUCCUCAUUCCCAUUCCCAGAGUUUCCUCCUUUUCCCGAUGCUGAGCCCACCGGGAGAUGGGGACAGGGCCCGAUGGUGGCGGGACACACACUCUGAGCCCCACAGGGCACCCAGGUAGCUUUUCCAGUGGGAUUUUCCAGCAGCACAAGGUUUCGGGCGCAAAUCUCCGGGGGCUCCAGCGCUCCCAGCGUUCCACCGGGAUGUCCCAGCCCCGUACGCGGACAGGGCAGCCCCGGACCCGGCGGCCCAGCCCGGCUGAGCCGGGACCAGCGCGGCCCCAGCACGACCCUACCUUGUUGAAGGCGAUGUCGGGGCGCGGGUUGGGCGCCGGGAUGGGGGAGGCGGCGGCGGCCGAGAAGGGCGCCCGGAGCUGGGCCGGGCAGAGCCGGGAGCUGCGCACCAGCGCCCGCAACAUGCUGAGCUGAGCCUUGCUGAGCUGGGCUGGGCUGGGCCGGGCCGGACCCCGCUCCUCGGAGCGGCCCCGCCCCGUCCCGCCCACCUCGGCACGGCUCGGCCCACGGGGCCGGGUCCCGCACGGUUCGGCUCGGUGCUGCCUAGAACUGACUUGGCGUGACUUGGUUCGGAUGGAAUCGUCUCGAUCCAGCUCGGUGCGGGCAGCGCAGUUUGGCUCAGCUCGGCUCAGCACGGUCCCGUUUGGAUCAGCUUAGCGUGGCUCAGCAGGACUCAGCUGGGCUCAGCUGGGCUCAGCACCGUUCGGGUCAGUUCGGCCCAGCUCAGUUCAGUUCAAAUGAGGCUUGGUUUGGUGCACCGGGGAUGCCUCAUCAGUGUCAGCAGCCACACUGCCCCUGUCCCUGCCCAGGGAACUUAGUGCAGGAAACAAUUAGGAAAAAGGCAGAGAAAAAACCCAAAAGCAUCUCCCUUGUGCUGGUUACUUUUGUGGGAAAGUGCUGUGAUGAGGGAAAAGUUGGAGACCUGGACCGUGGAUGUGCCACCACUACCACGCAGAAGGGAAUCCAAAAAAGCUCCUGUGUGUCUGGCAGUGGGACAAAACCACUCAAGUGCUUUCACAACAGGGACAUUACUCAGUGCAUACAAAGGAGAGGCUUUGUAAAAUCACUCCCAACAAUGGCUCAAGGCCUUUUUUUCUUGUUUGCUUAAGAUGCCUUGUGCAACUUCAGGCUCCCAAGUGCAGGUUCACGUGCAGGGAACAGGGGUGUGCUCACGUUAUCAUCACCAUCACUAAGGAAGCCACAGACCAAAAACAUCAAGAGUUUUUAACCUCCCAAAGAAACCUGUGGUAUUACCCUGUGUCUGACUGCACUUUUUUGGCUUCUUCAGUGAGGGGUCUCUGAAAGGUCACAGGGAUGGCUCUGGUUUAUAAAAGGCGCCACAAAAAUUGCGGGAUAUGUCAGUUCAGAUAUAGUUUGCCCCAGUGUCCUGGAAGACCCAGGGUGCUGAAAGUCUUGCUGGAGGUUCCUGCGUCUGCAAUUCUCCAGGCAUUUCCCUCGGGAGGGGAAUCUCAGCCCUACCGUGCAGGGAGGAACCACAGAGCCCAGGCAAAAUGCCUGCCCAAGGUUAUCCAGCAGGACUCAGAUUAGGCUGUGUGUAUCCUGGAUCAGCUGAAAAGAAAUCCUCUUGGGCAGGAUCUCCUCUCUCAUCCCUGUCCCCCUGUAUCCCCUGAAGGGUGACCGAUUCCCUUCACCGCUCCAGACAGCAGGUUGUGGGCAGCCCUUUAGGAGAUGGCACUUGCAAGGACGACUUGUUGCAACACGUUCUCUAUGCUGUUACAGACCUGCACGUGUUAAACCACUGUGGGAGACGCCAGACAGACCUGUUUUACCUGCAGAGAUGUGCCUGUGUCUCCCAGAGGGAGCAGGUCAGGCUGUGUAUCCACAGGGCAUGUCACAGAGCUGAGCUCCAGCUCAGGGCUAAGCCCCCAUGUGUGUCCUGCUGAUCCCGUGGUGGAAAAUGGAUGACAUUGAAUGCUAGCCCUGUGUCAAUGCUCCUCUUGAGCCCCUUUCCUUCCCUGGGGCUUGGCAGACAGACCCAGCAGCACUAACCCACCUCGAUGGCAGACCCAGCUCUGAGCCCUGCAGGGGCUGCGACUGAGCCUGAAAGAUAAGAUGGUGGGAGGUGCAGAAGCCAAGUGCCUGCUCGGAAACCAUCCCAAGUACCUGGGCUGGGCAGAUUCAGGCUCAGAUACAGGCUCCCUUCUUCUUCCACAGCAGAGCCAAGUGCCUGAGGUUGAGGUGGAAUUUCACCCCAGAGCCUGGGAGAUUCCAAAGCUCAGGUUACCAGCUUCCCCAAACUCCACGAUCCUGGUGUUGGGCAGCCAGCAUGGCCACCCCAGGGCUCCUUGAAGUGCCCCUUGUGUCCCUGAGAGCAGGGAUGUGGUGCCCACCCAUGGCAGGUGGAUGUGGCCUUGUGAAAGUGGGCUGUGAUGCUGUGCCCACGCUGGAGGAGCUGGAGAAUCCAAAGAACUGUGCCCAUCACUUUAAUAUUGAACUAAUACCACACACAGAGAACCUGGAAUUACCAUGAUUGUUCCCACAGUUCUCCCCUUGCUCUGACCUCCCUGAAGUACUGAAAUCCCCCAUUGAUCUAGACUGCAUCUUCCAUGAUCCCUGAAGAGACCCAGAGAAACCCACUGCAGUCACGGGACAACAGAGUCCUCCCAGUUCCAGGGACCAGGCACUGUCUCAGCUCCAAAGUCUCCCCUGAAUCCAGAGUCCUUGAGGUCAUUCCUGACCAAAUCUCCCUGCUGCGGGACUGACUCUCUGGAGCCUCAUGGUCCAAGGAUGAUUUUGCCCCAUAUUGAGCUGGGCAAUAAAGGCACUGAGCACAGAUAACAACAAACAGCACUGGAAUUGGGAAGCUCACAGGCUGCCCUUAGCACAAGGGCCUCUCCCGUGCCAGAGUGGAUGGUUUAGUUUUCCAUCCGAGGCUCCAAAGGACUGUGACCCUCAUGGGACCCUCAGCCAGACGUGGAGCUCAGGUCCAAGGGAAGCACCAGGCUGGGAUCUGCACUGUGGAGAUGUUCUGCUCCAGAGACCUGUGGGAGAGUGAGAUCAGAGCCCAGCUGGGCACAGAAAGGGCUGCAGGACCAGGGCAGGAUGGCAGGGAGUACUCUGGGAACACAGUGCUGGGGAAACAUCCUCCUGGGAGCCCCACAGGACAAAUCACCCCUCAUGCUCACAGGCCCCAUGCUGCAGUGGGGUGGAGGAGGCCGCAGUAGGGAGGGGGGGUCCCUGUGUUCUUUUUUUGAGUCAGGGAAGGCUCAAGCAUUAGGUAUCUGCUCACCUGGCUGCCUGAUCCACGGCCUGUACAGCCACCAGAGCCUCUGCUUUGGUCCUGGCACGCUCUGCCUGGGGGAAGAGUAUUAUUAUUAUUAUUAUUAUUAAGACACAUUAGGUGGUCUGGUGACCCUGAUGUCCCUCUGAUAGCCAGUCUGAGGGAGAAACUGAACUCCUCUGGACAGGAUCUCCCCGGACAACUGUGGGGACAGGCAACCUUUGGGACCAGCAGGCAAAGUCUGCUGGCUCCUGGUGUGGGAUGGGGCAGGAUCAGCUGAGAUCCUGCCUUGUUCAGCCAGGAGUACCUCAGCCAAGGGCUGCCAAGCUCCCAGGAAUAAACCCCUCCCAGAAGUGCCAGCUAGCACAGAGCAGCCUUGUCCGUGCCCUUGGCCCUUGCCCAGCCCAGGAGCACUGUGGCAAUUCCAGGCCAGGAAUAUUUGGCUGUUUAACCCUUCUCUGCAUUAUCUUUCUGCUGCAGGCAGCAAGACUCCUCCCCUGGCUUUCACAACAGACUUCCACAGCAAAGGUUGGCAGAGCAGGGACGAUGCCAAGGGAAAGAGCAGUGGGAUGGAUGGGGAGAUGGCAGGGAUGAGGGGGCUCCAUGGUCCCACACACAGGGAGCAGUGUCUCCACAAGCCCCAGGCAUGGAGUAGAGAGAGUGUGACUGUUCUGAUGUUUGGUAAAAAUGAGUGUUUCUAAGAAGGGUGAGGAGAUCUGCUCAUCCCAGCACUCCCAAAUUCCCCAGAACUGCUGCUUCCCAGCAGAUCAGCUGCUAAGCACCCUGAAACGCUGGGGUUUGCUGGUUUCUGCCAGAGCACAAGGAAAUGCUUUGGAAGGGCAGAACAACAGAUGGGAUAUGUUUUUGGCAGCUAAAAGGCAGUUAAAUAACCCACUAGAAUUUGAUAAAGCCACUAGAAUAGUUGAGAGUAUGAUCUCAGCGGCAGCCCAAGGGUGGGGAUGUUUGCUUUGGUUCACAAAGAGCAGAGAGUUGAACGAGAGUUGUGGAGGUACAAGCGGCUCCCUGACCUUCUGAGGGACCUCUCAAGGAAGCACCAGAGGGACACUAUGAAGGGAAUUAGCUCCCUCUUUCCCACAGAGAGUCAGCAGCCAAGGCCUCCCUGAUCAGGGAGAGGGAACAAGCAGCCAUCUCCUCCCUGGACUGGCAGGUUGGAAAGCCCAAGCCCAGCCAAGCUCUGGACACACCAUCAGCACUGAUGGCAGGACUUGGUGGAGCAGCACCAGUAAUUACAGCUGGGCUGGCAUUAAUCUGCUCCUGUUAGAAGGGAGUUCCAGCUUCUAAAAUCACUGUUUCCCAGGAUAUGAACUCUGUUACAGCCAUGGGAAGCCAGCCUCCUUCCUCCAAGCCACCGGAUUCUGUGAGUGCCAAAUGUCUGAUGUGAUCAGGAGAGCAAGGGCAGAGGCCACGACCCCCACCCUGGGGCAGGUGCAGCAGAGCAGCUCCAGGGGGGAAGAUCUCACCUGCAGUUCUGGCACAGCACGUGGAGUCCAACUGGGCUGGGAACUCAGAAAGCCCCACUGUAUUUUCCAGCUUGCAAUGAAGAUCCUGGGCCAUCCCCAACAGGCUGAUGGGAGGAAUGACCAGGGGAACCUUGGGCACAGGACGUGGCCAGGUGCUGUAACUCCUGCUGGGAAAUGGCCCUCGCCCGGCCCAGGUGCUGGAAUGUCGUGCGAGCAGCUUUGUGGGGGGGAGGCUCUCAAACACACGGAAUCCUUCCUUUAUGGCAAACUCCCAAGCCAGCUCAGCCACAAACUCUGCAUCCUGAGGGCUGCUGUCACCUGGGGCUGGGCUGCCUAGGGACAAGAGAGCAGGACUUGUUUCAAAGAGCCAUUUCUUAUGUAGUCACAUCCCAAACAGCACCAUGUGCCCUCGUCUGGGCCAACCACAAAACCCUCUCAAAGGGAUGUGAAAAUAACAUCCCAUUUUUCUCUGCUAAGGGCUCCAAGGCCAGAAUUGAUGUGUGCAGAUGAACAGCACGAGAGUUCCCAGCACCUCCCUGUUCCCGAGUCCUUGGAGGAGGCUGGUGCUGAGUUUGAAGGUCUGAGAGCUCCACCUGUAGGACACGGCUUUGAGCUCUCAACUGUGAAAGAGGAGACCUCUCAGCAACCUCUGAUGCACACAAACAGGAGCAGACUGUGCUGGAGCAGAGAGGCAGCCCUGUGCUUUGCAGGACACUAUUCCCAUCCCUCUGGAACACAUAUCACUGGAUGGCUGCUUCCCGGCCGCUCAUCAGAGAAACAAGAUCUUUCAUUCUGAGCCCUCAUUUCUCACAAGAGCUCUGUGCUGAAAGCACAAGAGUGCCAGACAUGCCACACUUUGCUGCAGCACUUGGAAUUUCAGAGUUCUCGGGAUUCCCAGCCCGGAGUGCCCAAACCCUGCUGCUCUGACCUCCCUGGCUCAGAAAGGGAGCCCUCCCCAGAGUUGUGCUGUGUCUGUGCCCUGUGCAGGGCAGAGCUGUCCUCGCUGGGCUCCUCACCUGCCGCACAGCGCUGGUGCCGCCCCUGCAGCGCCACGGCCAGGCGGAAAAAGGCAAAGGCCAUGUAGAAAUUCCAGUUCUCCGGGAGCUCCACUCCCAUGUGGCCGCAGUACAUCUGGGAAUACUCCUCUGCCGUGGGAACUCCCAGCUGCCUCAAAUCACACUUCCUCAAGCCUGGGUGAGGGGACAGUGAAGGGGUGACAGUAAGUCAGCUGACAGUGAGGAGCUCACAGCUCCCUAGGGAUGCCAUGAGACCUGUGGCAGAGCCAGGCAAAUUCCAUGGAGGCACCUGUACCCAUCCAGAACCUGCACUUGGGCUGGCUCCAUACAGAACUCUGGGGUUGGACACCAGCCCGUGCAGCUGAAGUGCACACAGGGCAGUUCUCUUGGUGAGGGUAAGACUGUGAAAGCCGUGACUGACAGAGAUUCCUCCUCAAUGAUGGAAGAAUUUUCCUCCCAGUUUAACCCUAAAUCACUCCUUUUAACAAGUGUAUAAUUGUGGACAAACUGUUCCUGGUGUGGUUCACAGCUUUCCCACCCAAAAGAGUUGCCCAGCUUCAGAGCUGCAGCGAGAAAGGGCAAGCAAUGCAAACCCCGAGCCCUUUGCAGUGAGCCCAGGUGCCAGCUGAGCUCCUGGGGCACAGCUAAUCUGUUCUGAGCUCUGUUCCUCUCUCCAUGUCACACUGGCUUUGCCCCUCUCUGUACCUCUCCGAGCACUAAAGUGAGGUGGUAGGAAAUAGGCCAUGCAGCUAUUCGCCAAAUCAGAGAAGGGAUCUCCUAGAGCUGCAAACUUCCAGCCAAGGACAGCAAGGACUUCUGGCCUGUCUGGAUGAAAGACCAGGUGGUCCAUCCUGUAUCAGAGGGAAAAAGAGAUCAGAAAAGUCUCCAGAGGGGGAAAAAAAUCCCAGUGCUCAGCAGCAGUAGGUGCUUUCCAGUGCUCUUCACUCUCUUCAAAAAUUGCCAAGUCCUUUGGGAGGCUGCACAAGUGGAACAUUAAAUUUCUACAAGCAGAGGACGGAGGUUACUCAGUAGUGAACUCCCUGGUUAAUGAUGAAAUGAACUGUGCUUUGGAGAAUGAAACCAGGAUAGUCAGAGCCUCAGAUCAUCAACAGAUGUUACAGGACAGGCUAAUCAUAAACUGAAGCACACAAGUUACUGUCCAGGGGAUGCUCUGGUCACUUUAAAGGCAUGCAGCCGCUGCAGACCCUGCUCUGCCAUGUGCUGUAGAUUCUGCACAGCCCUCACCAGUCUGAGCCCCAGGAGAGGGCAGGACUCCCCUAGGGAGCAGCCACAGUGGGCAGCCACCCUUCCAGGGGCAGAGAGCUCCUGCAGUCUUGAGGGAAGGAGCCUUGGGCCAGAUCUGGCACACGCCUCCACUGCAGCCCUAUAGCCCUGGCAGGACCCAGCCAGGGGCUGGCAGCACAGAGACAUCACUCAGCACCCCUCCCCUCUGCCCCAGCCACCCCACUCCAUGACUGCACCUGCAACACUGGCACGAUUUGCCACCCAAACUCUUUCAGCACCAAAUGCCAUCAGCAAGAAGCACCAGGGCUGAUUUUUGGGUAUUGCAGAAACAGCUGAUGAUCCUCCAGUGUUACACCAGUGUUUUCAGCAGUUGGGUGAAGAAACUUUCGAUCUUAUUCCCUGGGGGAUGCUGAACCUGACCCAAGCCCAGCUUGUGGACUGCUCUAAAGCUGUCUGUGUGUCACUUUACACUCCCUGUCCCUCCCUCCUGCCUGGGAUGUGCUCCAGGGCAGUACCUGAAAUCACCGUGUACCAGUGUUGUCUUCUGAGACUCUGGAAAAUGCAGAGGCAGCCACUGGAUGAGUCUCUCCAUCGCUGGGAUAAUGUGAGUUUCCACAGCUCGGUACUGCUUUGUCCAGGUCUCAACUUGCUGCUGAAUGUAAUUACCUGGAACAGGGAAAAGGGACUGGCACAAAGAGGCUUCAAAAGGGAUGCAGAAAAAGUCCAACAGCCAAGUAGAACUCAGUCUAGCACCCUGAGUUAACUGCAAUUUCCAGGGGUCUUGUACAUUGUUAAUUGGGCACUGGAUUUAAUAUUCUGGUGGAAAUAAUCUGAUCCUGGACAAAUCUGAUCUCCACCAGAUCCAGGAAGCUGAGCUGGCUCUGUUGAGGCACUGGAGGAGCUGAGGAGGUUUGGUCAGAGAUGGCAGCAAGCAAGUUCCUCCUGCAAAUAAGUUACUCCAUAGUGCAGCUUGUGUUCAUGGCAGGAAGUUCUGGGAACUCCUCACAGGAAACACUGACUCAAGGAUCUAAACAGCUCUCCAAGCCCUCCCACCACACCUGGGGAUGCAGACACUGGGCUGCCCUUUCCCUUUCCCCACUGCCCCCAGUUUGGCCCAUCCAGCCUAUCCCUUGAAAUGCUGACACACAGGAGGAGAUGGAGGAUCUCUGGCCUCCUCUCACCGUGCUCCCCGAAGUCCUGCAGCCUGGCUGCCCUGAGGUCCACGCUGUGGAUCCUGGCGAGGACGUGGCUCAUGGUGCGGUACCGGGCCUGGCGCUGGUGGGGCGGCAGCGCUGGCAGGGACACGUCGCGGUGGACACGGCCAGGGCAGAGCUCCAUCACGUAGAAAGGUGAGCCAAGGGUGCUGGGGAAGCAAGGGGGGGACUGAUGGGACUGAGUUCAUCCUGCUACUGCCACCCCUCAAAGCUCACCCGCCCCCUGAACAUGGACAGGAGAAGAGCAGCCUCAGCAGCACCUGAGCACUCACCUGAGCCCUGCCCAGGCUGGUGUGUGGUGGCACAGGGCUGUGCCAUGAUCAGCCCUGGUCCCUCCAGCUCCUUGAAGCUGAGCUUGGAGGCUCCAGCAGCAGCCCUUUCCCUGCCUCCCUGCAGUGGGUGUGGAGCUGGGCUGUCAGGCUGCGCACAAACACCAGGAAUGCUGGACACACAUUUAACUGCAGUGCAGAGACUGUUCCUGCAGCCAGCAGAGAUCUGAGCUGCCUGCAGGCUAUGAGGGGUGUCCUGGUCACAGAUUUGCUGCUGUCAUGGCUGUCUGAGGUCUGGCACUUUGAAAAAACCCCUCUUCAUUGCAAACCUGAGCACACUGAGUCAGCAGGAAGCCCUAAAACAUUGUUUUAUAACUGCUUUUCAGAGGGAGCAUUUUGAUUAAUUGCUAAAACAGGACACAUCUAAACCAAGCCAAAUAAAAGUGUUUCUGUCCUUUGAACCUCUAGAGGCUCCUCCAGCCCCAGACAUGGCAAAUGCUAACUACACCAAUGCACUCUGUGAGCUCUGGCUCCUUCUCUUCUCUCCUCGUGUUUGGGGGAAUUUGGGUGCAGUUGUCAAGCACAGAGCAAAAGCUGGGAUCAGGAACAGGAUCCCAGGGCCAGGAUUACCUGCUGUCCUCGCAGAGAGCAAGUACAGUGGGAACAGGAACACCAGCCUCAGAGAGAGCCUUCAGGAGCCUGCCAGGUUAUAAAACAAGCUUUAAACUCCUGAAAUUCAAAGAUUUGAGCGGGGCACACAAAAAAAGCAAAUUUUCUGUCAUGCUGAGCCAAGUCCUCGUGUGCAAAUGGUGCCACUGGAACCAGCCUUGAGGUUCAUAGAGAAUCUUCUGUGUCAUCUCUGCAAAGCUUCCAAGUCCUGUAUUGAAAUCACUGCCUGUGCCUGUUACACAGAGACUGUGGUUGUAUGGUUGUGUGGGCACUCUGAUUUUUCAGAGUCACUCAGCCCCUCUCCAGGGCCCAGUCCCUCCAGUGAAUGAUGCCAGGAAAGGUUUUCCCAGGCUCUUACACUGCUCUCUGUCUGCCUACACCUGCUGCUGGUGCUGUUCACUUGGUACCUGCAUGGAAAGAAUUCCAGUCUGAGACUGAGGAGCAGAGCCACAUUAGGAUCCAGCAGAGCCACAUUCAGGAUCCAUCCAGCCUUACCACGUCAAAGUGCCGUCGAUCCAGGGCCAGGAACCUCCCUCCCUUCCCCAGGGAUGAGCUGUUGCUGAGCAGAGCUGUCUUAAGCCCUUCUGCCCGGACACACUGAGCUGCUUCUGCCAUUGUGGGGAGCUGUUUUAUCAUCUCAGCCCGGAUUAAGUCCCAGAGAAAAGAGUCCACUGGAACACGGACAUCUGCCUAAGAAACCAGAGAAACCCCAGGAAUGAUAAUUAGCCAUAAAUGGGUUUUAAGCAGGGAUGAAAAUAAAAGUGGUUGGGUGGGUAGGUUGCUUGAUCACCUUAUCUCG